rnacentral:rRNA from 1 species
UACGUAGGGCGCAAGCGUUAUCCGGAAUUAUUGGGCGUAAAGCGCGCGCAGGCGGUUUUUUAAGUUCGUGGUGAAAGACCGGGGCUCAACCCCGGAGCGUCCGCGAAGACUGGAAGACUGGAGUGUCGGAGAGGAGUGCGGAAUCCCUGGUGUAGCGGUGGAAUGCGUAGAGAUCAGGGGGAACACCGAUGGCGAAGGCAGCACUCUGGCCGAAAACUGACGCUGAGGCGCGAAAGCGUGGGGAGCGAACGGG